rnacentral:rRNA from 1 species
CAGUAGCCGCGGUAAUACGUAGGUGGCAAGCGUUGUCCGGAAUUAUUGGGCGUAAAGGGCUCGCAGGCGGUUUCUUAAGUCUGAUGUGAAAGCCCCCGGCUCAACCGGGGAGGGUCAUUGGAAACUGGGAAACUUGAGUGCAGAAGAGGAGAGUGGAAUUCCACGUGUAGCGGUGAAAUGCGUAGAGAUGUGGAGGAGCACCAGUGGCGAAGGCGACUCUCUGGUCUGUAACUGACGCUGAUGUGCGAAAGCGUGGGGAUCAAACAGGAUUAGAUACCCCCGUAGUCCCUGUCUCUUAUAA